GGGGCUAUUUGGUUUUGACAGCAGGUAGAAUGGUUGUGUAAGCACGCCGAGCAAUGAGGCAACGCUCGUUAAUCUCGCUUCGAAGCAUAACUGGCAACACUUCUUAUGCUCUCGCUGCUUAAUCGAAGUAUAGUAGAUUGGCCUAUUUGGGCGCAAGGCGCCUAAACGAGACGUCACUCCAAGCCGAGUCUGUGGGCUGAAUGGAUAUAGUGGCGCAGGAAUUCACAGAAUAGAUCUCGUAGGCUGCGAUGCGAAAUCGAAAACUUAGCAGAUAAGCCGGUGGUUGGUGGCUUGGGUCUUGCUACCGGACGAAAACGAAGGCCAAGAUAAGCGUGUAGAAAGCGCAAGUAUUCCUUGUUUGGACACGGGUUCGAAUCCCGUUAGCUCCAC
rnacentral:tmRNA from 1 species